rnacentral:piRNA from 1 species
UAGGUUUUCCAAUGCCUCGCCUGUGAUGU